rnacentral:misc_RNA from 1 species
CUGAACGCCUCNAAGUCAGAAUCCAUGCCAGAACGCGGUGAUACCACCCGCACGUAUNGNGGGGCNAGAAUAGGCUUCGGCUUAGCGUCUUAGCAGGCGAUUCUUCCACGGCGCUCGAAGCGCGUCGUGGUAUUUCNCGUAUUGUAAUUUCAACACGAGCGGGGUCAAAUCCUUUGCAGACGACUUAGCUGUGCGAAACGGUCCUGUAAGCAGUAGAGUAGCCUUGUUGUUACGAUCUGCUGAGGGUAAGCCGUCCUUCGCCUCGAUUUCCCCAAUGGGUUCUCCGGAUUUCUGGAGACUUGUAGGGGUUGUGGGAUUUUUGAUGUGUCGUCUCCGGACGGGCGGUGCAGGGUAGUCGAGUUAGACUUGGUGGAAUUCCGUCGAUAGGAGUUCCGUCGAGUCUGGUCGGCUGCUUGGACAUGGUCGGUUCGAGGAUCGAUUCGAGGCCCGGCCUGUCGAUGAUGUGUGAUGUAUGCGGUCUAGGGUAGGCUGGUUUGUCUUGGUUCANNNGGNNGUCGGCUCCCGUGCAGGCCAGAGUGAAGGGGGGUCCAGGGUAGGUACAGGGUAGGCAGCUUAGAUUUGGUCGAUCUGGAGGUCGAUUCUCCGGCUGGCGGAUCUGACACUGUCGAAAUGAGAUGCGAGUGGUGUAGGGUAGGCUCUAGGGUAAGUAGAAUUCUAGUUUCGUCGCCGACAGUUUUCUUUGGGUGUAUGGUAGGUACAGGGUAGGCAAAUCUCUCUCGGGCCAGUACUUGUCUGGUGGUCGUGAGUCGAUUUUUUUGUUUUGCCAUACUAUUGAAUUUUGCGGAAAUUCAAAAGUGGCUCGGGAGUCCCCGCCUGGCGAGCGUCCGACUCGAACAUCGUCGGUGUACAUAUGAGAGGGAGUAAUCCGGCCCGGCCGGGGCCCAUCGCGAGCUGCCGGGUAGGUAAAAGUNAAAAANUUGUUAAGAGGCGCGGUGUCCGCGUGCUUGUAUUUGCGGGAGGGAAUUAUCUGGGGGUGCUGGGUAGCCGGGAAGACUUGGACGGAUCUGGCCCUGGAAUGGGUCUGGGCCUGGAUUCUGGAGUGGUGUAGGGUAGGCGUAGAUAGAUGAGUGGUGUAGGGUAGAUACAGGGUAGCCAGAAGUCUGGUAUAUAGUAUGGGGGUGUAGGGUAGGUCUGGACACCGUUUUCCACUUCGCCCUUCCCUUUAGUCAAGGGAGGACGAUCUUGGCUGGGACGGAGGUGUAGGGUAGGCUUAAUUUACUAUUACAUGAUCUGUGUCACUCUAGGGUAGGUGAAAAUCCCAUAUAUAUCUGAUCACAUUUGGUGAAGAGGUGGUUUGGCUGGUGAGAUGGACAAAAGUGCAAUGUAGAAUUAUAUGNGAUUUUGCAAAANUNGGUGNAAAUUGGGAAAUCGGUUUUCCNNACAGNNNNNNNCACGUUNGAGGUGCCANAGA